GAUCCGCUGCCCGGAGUGCAAUGCCGGCAAUGUGCUCUGGUUCGUCUCUGGAAUGGUAGAGAACCCAGGGAGGCAUUUCUACAAGUGCGAACGCCAUGGAUUUGGUGGAUGCUGUUUCUGGAAGUGGGAGAACAAGUAUGUACAGUACUUCAGUACUCACUGGGAGCAUCUACUCUCGCACAUGCAUCUGUGUGUCGGCAUGUAACUCUGCUUGAGCAGAACCAAGCAUGGUUGAGGAACAUUUUCAUCUUGGGCGUGCUGAACAUGGUGCUAAUGGCCAUAUGCUGUAUGCACAAGUUCUGAAGCAACGAGAUCCCAUGCAACGAUGGAAUUGGUGCACCAGAUGCACCAGCGAGUUAUGGGCCAUUUGAUUGAGAAUGAGCGGACAAAAUCUAGGUACAAUCUGGGCUGCUGGUGCACUUGUAAACUGAACCUUGUG